CACGUAGGGCGCGAGCGUUGUCCGGAAUUAUUGGGCGAAAGAGCUCGUAGGCGGCCUGUUGCGUCCGCUGUGAAAGCCCGGGGCUUAACCCCGGGUCUGCAGUGGAUACGGGCAGGCUAGAGGUAGGUAGGGGAGAAUGGAAUUCCCGGUGUAGCGGUGAAAUGCGCAGAUAUCGGGAGGAACACCGGUGGCGAAGGCGGUUCUCUGGGCCUUACCUGACGCUGAGGAGCGAAAGCGUGGGGAGCGAACAGG
rnacentral:rRNA from 1 species